AGCUGCUCGAACUUUAAAUGUCUCCAAGCAAGAUAAAUAUACCCAGACCGAAUUUGUAAGCCAUGAAGUAAUCAACAAUGUCCAGAGGAACACCGCAAGUACGGAGGGCUCUAUCUACAAAGCUAUAAGACCUGUUCAUUGUUUCCAGCAUUAUCAGUUUAAACCCAACAUCUGGACACAAGACGCUUUACACUAAUGUAUUCAAUUAGGUUUCAUUAAAAUGUAAUAAGCUGCGGUUUCAGAAACAAUUAAUGUAUUCACAAAUGAUGCUGCUAAACUGCAGUUUUGCAUUAUCACAAAUGAAAAUACUCCUUUUUUGAUGUUGCUGUACAGAUCUAUUUUCAUUGCAGGGACUUUAAUAACAA